UCGGGCCUGCAGUGGGUACGGGCAGACUAGAGUGCGGUAGGGGAGAUUGGAAUUCCUGGUGUAGCGGUGGAAUGCGCAGAUAUCAGGAGGAACACCGAUGGCGAAGGCAGAUCUCUGGGCCGUAACUGACGCUGAGGAGCGAAAGGGUGGGGAGCAAACAGGCUUAGAUACCCUGGUAGUCCACCCCGUAAACGUUGGGAACUAGUUGUGGGGACCAUUCCACGGUUUCCGUGACGCAGCUAACGCAUUAAGUUCCCCGCCUGGGGAGUACGGCCGCAAGGCUAAAACUCAAAGGAAUUGACGGGGACCCGCACAAGCGGCGGAGCAUGCGGAUUAAUUCGAUGCAACGCGAAGAACCUUACCAAGGCUUGACAUAUACGAGAACGGGCCAGAAAUGGUCAACUCUUUGGACACUCGUAAACAGGUGGUGCAUGGUUGUCGUCAGCUCGUGUCGUGAGAUGUUGGGUUAAGUCCCGCAACGAGCGCAACCCUCGUUCUAUGUUGCCAGCACGUAAUGGUGGGAACUCAUGGGAUACUGCCGGGGUCAACUCGGAGGAAGGUGGGGAUGACGUCAAAUCAUCAUGCCCCUUAUGUCUUGGGCUUCACGCAUGCUACAAUGGCCGGUACAAAGGGCUGCAAUACCGUAAGGUGGAGCGAAUCCCAAAAAGCCGGUCCCAGUUCGGAUUGAGGUCUGCAACUCGACCUCAUGAAGUCGGAGUCGCUAGUAAUCGCAGAUCAGCAACGCUGCGGUGAAUACGUUCCCGGGUCUUGUACACACCGCCCGUCAAGUCAUGAAAGUCGGUAACACCUGAAGCCGGUGGCCCAACCCUU
rnacentral:rRNA from 1 species